UGGAAUUAUAAUUAAUACCGGCUUGUCUUAUCCUCUCCCUCUCUCGAGAUUCCUACAAGUCGCCUCCAUGUCCGCAGCCGAUCGUGACGCCGACGACCGCCAGGCCGCCUUCCUCAUCAUCUCCUCCUUCACUUGGAUACGAUCGGCGACCUCUAUUGCUCCUCCGCCUGAUGUCUCGGAUGUCGGACAAUCAUCACCAUUGUUGCCAUUUCGAGGAUUUCAGUUCUAGGUCUGCUAACAAAUGACUAUAAUUUUGAUCGCAAGUUGACAAUCUUGGCCUAGAGUGCUUCCGAAGUGGGUUCAUUGAUUCUAGGUAUCAAAUACUGUUUUCAAAGGAGAAGAUGAUGGUGGUGGAGAAGCUCUCUUCCUUAUAAGAUGAAGAAUAGGGUGGUUAAAAUUGUUAUGAUCCUAUUAAUUGCCCAUGCAUUGGCAGUCAAAUUUUUGUGAGCUGGGGACAGGACCUAAUUUGUUGAAAUGGGAAAAUGAUGGUACAGUAUUCAUGAGAAGGCUUUGGGUUUGGGGACAAAAUUAGGGAUCAAAUUAUCAAUGUAUAUUUUGGGCUGCGUUUAAUCCGAACAUGGUAUUGAAAAUUAUUGUGGUCAAUUGUUAAAUUCGUUUCCAAAUUUGGAAAGUGCACAUGGAAUAAUCUUUUAGUAAAUUAAGGAUUUGGGAAUUAUCUUCUUGGUUUCAAUUGUAUUUACAUAUGAUGCUAUCAUCCUUGUAAUUUAUAUUGUCAAGUAUAGUUGUUCUAUUGUAAUAUGUCAAAUUUAAGUUGAGUUUCAAUCUGUUUGUUUUUAAAUCUCAGUAACAUUAGCAAUUGUUUUUAUUGAGAUUUAAAUCAAAGUUUCAAAUUGGUUUAUAUUGUUUUCUAUGUUUUUCUUUUAUUUCUUAAUUCAAAAUCAUGUUUUUUAUGUUAUGGAAUGGGAUGUUGUGCAGGUGGAUAUCUGUUAAGGGGUUUAUGAUGUUAUGGGAAUCUUAUGGUUUAUCUUAUUGAAUUUAAAAUAGACAUUAUUUUUUUAAUUUUAUGAUUCUCAAAUUAAGAAAUUGAUGUCUAUUUAAAAUCACAAAAUAACUUUGGUUGAUAUUAUCUCCUUUCCAAAAGUGACUUUUAUUUUGGAUAUAUGAUAUGGUUUGAUUUGAUGGAAUCAACAUGACAAGUGUGUCCUUGUAGCUGAAUUUUUACAUGAUAAUGAUAUGCGACAAUUUGUGUGGUUAAGUGGUGCAGGUAUAUCUUGCAGUCAACUGAAUUAUAUGCCAUUGUUCUGUCUAUCUUGCAAUUAAUGGUUCUCUCUUGUUAAACAUGUUGUCUGCUAUCUGUUUUUAUUGUUUCCGAAUCCUUUCUUUUGUUUACUGCUUGUCUAUAUAUUGUUGUUAUUGUAACCUAUUGCUGAUAGUAAUAUUACUCAUGACUUUUACUGAAUUUAUCAUUCUUUUGAAUUCUCAGCAACAAGUUUAGGUAGAAAUUGGAGGGGAUUAGUGCUCAUAUAGUGGUAUACUGGAAAUGUUAUUAGGUUCAAGUGUUGCUUUAAACAAGAAGGAGAAAGAAAUUUACUGUCAAGACUGACUGAGAUUAAAAAGUUUGAUCACAGGAUCUCAUCAAGGAAUUCUACAGAUGAUGAUCCUUCUGUUAUGGUGAAUGGUCACUUUGAUAGUCCGCCUGGUUCUCCUGGUGCAGCGGACUGUGGUUCCUAUGAUGCAUCAAUGCCCGAAACAACACGGCAAAUAGUUGAUUCUAGCUAGGUCCCUCCGCGACAAAUAAUUUUUCUUUUCAAUGGUGCUGAGGAAGUUUUUCUUUUGGAUAUAUUUGGCAUCAUUCCUGGGGAUACAGAUUACCAGAUUUUUGCUAAAGAUAAUGGCGAUAUUCAAGGACUGGACAUUAUCUUUGUCCUUGGUGGUUAUUUCUAUCAUACAUCUUACGAUACAAUCGAAAGGCUAUUGUAUGCAUUAGGAAGUACUGUUAUUCAAAUUCUCUGUUUUGAAUAUCUUGAUCUUGAUAUCUUCACUAAGUGGGUUUUGAUAUUAGAAUGUAUUGAUGAAACAGUCCCGGAAGUAUUCCAGGACUGGAUCUUGUUUGUUCCCCAGCAACAAGGCUGCAAUACUGAAUUUUAAUGUUGCAUGUGGAAUGGAGUUUUAAUGUUGUUUUGAUACAAGUGUUUGUAUAGUUAUACUACAUGAUUUCCAAUGUAUAUAUAGGGCAUCUA